GACGAACGCUGGCGGCGUGCUUAACACAUGCAAGUCGAACGGUGAAGCGCCUUCCUUUUUGGUGGGUGUGGAUGAGUGGCGAACGGGUGAGUAACACGUGAGUAACCUGCCCCCUUCUUCUGGAUAACCGCAUGAAAGUGUGGCUAAUACGGGAUAUUCUGGGUCUGUCGCAUGAUGGGUCUGGGAAAGAUAUUGUUUCGGUGGGGGAUGGGCUCGCGGCCUAUCAGCUUGUUGGUGGGGUGAUGGCCUACCAAUGCGGUGACGGGUAGCCGGCCUGAGAGGGUGGACGGUCACACUGGGACUGAGGCACGGCCCAGACUCCUACGGGAGGCAGCAGUGGGGAAUAUUGCACAAUGGGCGCAAGCCUGAUGCAGCGACGCCGCGUGAGGGAUGGAGGCCUUCGGGUUGUGAACCUCUUUCGCCAGUGAAGCAGGCCUGCCUCGUUUGUGGGUGGGUUGACGGUAGCUGGAUAAGAAGCGCCGGCUAACUACGUG
rnacentral:rRNA from 1 species